rnacentral:rRNA from 1 species
AAUAGAUACCCUGGUAGUCCACGCCGUAAACGAUGAGUGCUAAGUGUUAGAGGGUUUCCGCCCUUUAGUGCUGCAGCUAACGCAUUAAGCGCUCCGCCUGGGGAGUACGGCCGCAAGGCUGAAACUCAAAGGAAUUGACGGGGGGCCCGCACAAGCGGUGGAGCAUGUGGUUUAAUUCGAAGCAACGCGAAGAACCUUACCAGGUCUUGACAUCCUCUGCCAACCCUAGAGAUAGGGCGUUCCCCCUUCGGGGGGACAGAGUGACAGGUGGUGCAUGGUUGUCGUCAGCUCGUGUCGUGAGAUGUUGGGUUAAGUCCCGCAACGAGCGCAACCCUUGAUCUUAGUUGCCAGCAUUCAGUUGGGCACUCUAAGGUAACUGCCGGUGACAAACCGGAGGAAGGUGGGGAUGACGUCAAAUCAUCAUGCCCCUUAUGACCUGGGCUACACACGUGCUACAAUGGAUGGUACAAAGAGCUGCGAACCCGCGAGGGUAAGCCAAUCUCAUAAAGCCAUUCUCAGUUCGGAUUGUAGG